UACGGAGGGAGCUAGCGUUGUUCGGAAUUACUGGGCGUAAAGCGCGCGUAGGCGGCUUUGUAAGUUAGAGGUGAAAGCCCGGGGCUCAACCCCGGAACUGCCUUUAAGACUGCAUCGCUUGAAUCCAGGAGAGGUGAGUGGAAUUCCGAGUGUAGAGGUGAAAUUCGUAGAUAUUCGGAAGAACACCAGUGGCGAAGGCGGCUCACUGGACUGGUA
rnacentral:rRNA from 1 species